UACGGAGGGGACUAGCGUUGUUCGGAAUUACUGGGCGUAAAGCGCACGUAGGCGGACGUGUCAGUCAGGGGUGAAAUCCCGGAGCUCAACUUCGGAACUGCCUUUGAUACAGCACGUCUUGAGUCCGGAAGAGGUGGGUGGAAUUCCUAGUGUAGAGGUGAAAUUCGUAGAUAUUAGGAAGAACACCGGUGGCGAAGGCGGCCCACUGGUCCGGUACUGACGCUGAGGUGCGAAAGCGUGGGGAGCAAACAGG
rnacentral:rRNA from 1 species